rnacentral:lncRNA from 1 species
GGGUUUGUGGUUAGGUGUACAAGUGACUGUUUUUUCUCCUCUUGCCCAAGGUGAAGCAAGAGAACUCAGUUGGAACCUCGGAUCCUCCUAGCCGAUCAGAAGACUAGAGAGGAAAAACAAACUUAGAUGACUCCUCCUCCGGCAUAUCUAAGGGGGACAAAAGCCAUACUGGCCAUGGGGAGACCCUGGAUGAGUGUUGAUACCAAGCUGACCUGAAUUCCAGGCUCAAGUUGUAGAUGAGAGCUGUAUGUGGUGCCCUGUGGAUGGUGCAGGUGAGACGUCCAAAGACAGCAUCGCUCACACUGCUCAGGACGGAUGAGGUACUGAAGGAGGCCAGAUUGGAGGAGCCAGCCUGGGCAGGGCUGUGGCUGUUUCAGGGCAAGGUUGCCCUUACGGUAUUUUCUUUUGCUGCCACCUCUCUUGCCCCCCUUGUGAGGAGAUCGGCUCUUGCUCCUCCUCAUGCCAUGACUUUUUAAUUUGCGGCUGGUCGACAUGUUAUCUGGAUGCUGGUGCCAUUCAUGGGGAUAAAGGCCAGACAUGGUACUCCAGACCUUCUGCGUCCACUCAAGGCUGGUUGUUUCUCCUACAAACAUGCCCCCAUGAAAGCAGGGACCUCUGUGAAAGCAGGAAUUGAGAAAUUGGGCUCACUACUGAAUAUUCCCUGGGAGUUCAUCAGUCCUGCCACAGAAUAGAAGCUCAGUAAGUAUUUGUGAAAUACAUUUGGUCAAUGAAUAAAAAGUCCUUCUUUUAUUUUUCUAACUAUCCUGUUCCUUCCCAUUUUGCCCCACAUCUCUAAGGAAGACUUCCCAACUUACCAAAUUUUCACUGUCCUUUGAAACUUCUUCAAAGUUUAUUGUCCAUAUAAUAUUGGCUUUAAAGUCUAGACAACCAACCCUAAUUGUGUGAAAUCGUGUUUUAUGCCUGCAUUGCCAGCCAUGUGUGUUAGACUGGUUUCAACAGGAGGUGGUGUGUCUUCGUUCUGGUCCUGACUGGACUUCUCUGGUUGUUAGCUCCCUUAUUCUAAAAAUAAGCAGAUUGGGCUAGGUGAUCUCUGAAAUGAUCUGACUUUGGCGAUAGCCUCCUUCUCGUUAGGGACUGUACCUUUUAUUUCUACUGCAUUUUCCGCAGGUACUAGCAUGGCCCACACU